GUGAAUCAUCGAAUCUUUGAACGCAAAUUGCACUCUCUUCGGAGAGUAUGCCUGUUUGAGGGUCAGUAUUAAUAAAAAUCGGUGUGCUGCUUCUUUGUGACGCUCCGGAGUUUGGGUCAUCUUAAUAUCCUUUAGGUUUUAAGAGGCUUAAAAUUGAUUUUUUUUGGGAUUUUAAGUGUUAAAUAAUUCUUUUUUUUUUUUGUUUUGUUUUAUUGUUAAAAUUCUUUUUAGUUG
rnacentral:misc_RNA from 1 species